GUGGCUAGGCUCGGUGGUUAAUGCGUGAGUCUCGUAACCGAAAGGUCGCGGGAUCGAAUCCCGCUAGAGGCU
rnacentral:tRNA from 1 species